rnacentral:ncRNA from 1 species
AUAAAUUCUUUGAUGAGAAGAGUACUUUUUUAGAGUUCUCAAAGAGAGCCGGCGUCUGGUGAAAGACCGGAAGAAUAUAAAAAAGGAAGAGAGCCUCUGAGAAGCUGCCUGAAGUGUAGAAAAAAUUACAUAAACUUAAUUUGUAAGAUGAUAAAAUAGCGAAUCUUCACUGCUUUUUAGCUGUUUAUAAAUUUUGUUGAAGUUGUUUUUCCAGAUGUGUAGGGUAAGCCGCUGACUGCGUUAAAGUUUUGAGUGGAUACAGCUCAGUCUGUAUCAACUAGAGUGGUACCACGGAUAGUAUGCCCGUCUCUAUA